AUGGAACGCUGGCGGCAUGCCUUACACAUGCAAGUCGAACGGUAACGGGCCUUGGGGUGCCGACGAGUGGCUAACGGGUGAGUAAUACAUCGGAACGUGCCCGGUCGCGGGGGAUAACGAGGCGAAAGCGUUGCUAAUACCGCAUGCGAUCUACGGAGGAAAGAAGUUGACGGGAAGGCCUGGCGCGGCCGGGGCGGGCGAUGGCCGGUUGGGGAGUUGGGGGGGUGAACGCUUAGCAAGAGGACGAUCUGUAGCUGGUCUGAGAGGAUGAUCAGCCACACUGGGACUGAGAGCCGGCACAGACUACUACGGGCGGCAGCAGUGGGGAAUUUUGGACAAUGCGCGCAAGCCUGAUCCAGCCAUGCCGCGUGCAGGAUGAAGGCCUUCGGGUUGUAAACUGCUUUUGUACGGAACGAAAAGCCUUCUUUUAAUACAGGAGGGUCAUGACGGUACCGUAAGAAUAAGCACCGGCUAACUACGUG
rnacentral:rRNA from 1 species